rnacentral:sRNA from 1 species
UUACUGCUCUAGAGACAGGAUCCUCUGUUUAUCCACAGAGCAACUACAACAUGAAUAGUGAUAGCCCACGCUUCCCUUCCACACUGCCCUGCCAAUGUGCCUUACAUCUCACCUGGAUAAACUCUAUCUAGGGGAGAGAGGGAAGGUCAUGCCCCUAUUUUGUAAAGUUAACCAGCU